GUCUUCUUUGCAGAAAUGUCUGUUCAUGUCUUCUGCCCAUUUCUUGAUUGGAUUAUUCUUUGGGUGUUGAGUUUGGAUCGCAAGAUGGACACCUGAGGCCCACAGCAAGUGGCUUGCCCAUGGUCACAAGGAAAGUGAAUGAAAAGAGGAACUUUAGGAAGAGAUGGGAAGAGAGGAACUACUGAAGGAGACUACUGAGAAGGAACACGCUUUACAGCUGAUGAGGGGGCUGUCCUGGCUGUGGGCAGUAUCCCCAGAUCCUUUCAAAGAUCUGGGCUCCAUCCCCAUGAAAGGAAAAAAACCUACAAACAAGUCAAAGAAAGAAGAGGGUGAAGGAUUCCUCAAGAUCCAUUUCUUGGGGAAUGUUUACAUGCACUGAAGGUUCUGGAUCCUUCCAUUGGGUGAGGAGUCAAAUGGGCACAGUGCAGCUCCAUGGUUUUGUAAGAUAUCUACGCAACCUACCUACCGACAUACCUACUGCAGCUUCUGGUUCCUUGUAUCCCCAAGAGUACUGCCAUCAUCAUCCCACAAUUUUGAGGACCUCCUGGUACAACCAUGACCAUAGUGGAAAAGACUAACAUUUAUGGUGCUCCCUGUAUGCACUUACCCAACUUGGCCAGGCUAUGUGCUCAGUUGUUUGUUUAAACACUAGUCUAGAUGAU